rnacentral:tRNA from 1 species
GGAGACGUGUACGAAUGGCUUAUACAGUGCGACUUAAAAUCGCUUGGAGUGAUAAUAUCACUCCCGAGGGUUCGAAUCCCUCCGUCUCCUCC